GAUGAACGCUGGCGGCGUGCUUAACACAUGCAAGUCGAACGGAAAGGCCCAAGCUUGCUUGGGUACUCGAGUGGCGAACGGGUGAGUAACACGUGGGUGAUCUGCCCUGCACUUCGGGAUAAGCCUGGGAAACUGGGUCUAAUACCGGAUAGGACCACUUCUUGGAUGUUGUGGUGGAAAGUUUUUUCGGUGUGGGAUGAGCUCGCGGCCUAUCAGCUUGUUGGUGGGGUAAUGGCCUACCAAGGCGUCGACGGGUAGCCGGCCUGAGAGGGUGUACGGCCACAUUGGGACUGAGAUACGGCCCAGACUCCGACGGGAGGCAGCAGUGGGGAAUAUUGCACAAUGGGCGCAAGCCUGAUGCAGCGACGCCGCGUGGGGGAUGACGGCCUUCGGGUUGUAGACUCCUUUCGCUAGGGACGAAGCGUUUUGUGACGGUACCUGGAGAAGAAGCACCGGCUAACUACGUG
rnacentral:rRNA from 1 species